AUGGGUCAAGACUGGAGCACUGAUUGGUUUCCCAAAUUGCAAGGGCUUGUGAUAAUUAGGUGCCCAGAGUUAUUGCUAGUGGCUUGCAUCCCCUGGACUAACACUCUACAUUAUGCCAAUAUAAGGGAUGUAAAGCUACUAGAGGUGCUUGGGUACAACUCAGAAUCAUGCCAUCAUGUCAAUGUUAUUGGGAAGGAUGAAUUGCACAACUUAGAUCAGGUUUUGGCAUUCAAUAAACUGGCAGGGCUCGAGUCUAUGGUACUCAAAAGGUGUCCACCUUUGGAGUGGAAGCAGCUUGUGAUGCUAACCUCAUUAAAGAAAUUGGUUUUUGAUAGUGCAGAUGCCCUGGUUGGGCCAUUAGGAGUUGAGUGUGAUGUGGAAUGGCAACACCCUGUUGAGCGUCUUGAUGUCCAGGAAUCUUGUGGUGCUAGUGGGAAGGAAUUGACCAAGCUUCUAACCCACCUCCCAAGGCUUUCCAUGCUAUGUAUCAUAAAUUGUGAAAACAUAACACAGCUGGCAGUGGGGGUGGAUCUGGAAAGAACAACAUCAGCAGCAUCGGAGGUGGAGCAGCAUAAAGAUGAAGAUGGGUUGCUACUCUUCCUGGCCAAUCUCUCUGAAUCACUCCGGGAGAUGCGCAUCAGAAAUUGCCCAGACCUGGCCCUGGUGGACCCCCCUUCAAUUUUUUUUCCUGCCCUGCAAUCCCUCGAGAGGUUACAAAUUUUUGGCAGCCCCAAGAUACUACCGGCUGGUUCUCCUUCAUGCUGCCGUUUUCCAUCCUCUCUGCAAGAACUUGAUCUUUCGGAUGUGCAAGGCAUGGGGACGCUGGAGCCCCUUUCAAACCUCACCUCUCUCACCAAAUUAAGAUUGGGGAAUUGUGGAAAGGAUCUAAGGUGCAAGGGCUUGGAGCCUCUCCUUACCGCCAGGGGACAGCUCAGAGAUUUAAUAGUCAUUCGUAGCCCUAGAUUCUUUGCUGGAUGGACUCCCAAUCCCAGGCGGGUGCAGCUGCAGGAUGAACUAGGACAAGGGCAGAAGCUGCAGCAGCUUGGUUCAUUCAAGCUCUUGACGGAUGACCACAUGGGACUCCUCGCUGCACCCAUCUGCAGCUUCUUGUCUUAUUCCCUCACCCACCUAAACCUUUGUGAGGACGAUAAGAUUGAACGCUUCACAAAGGAGCAAGAGGAUUCCCUUCACCUCCUCACAUCCCUCCAGCGACUUGACUUUGGGUCUUUCAGCAAGCUUCAGAGCCUCCCAGCAGAGCUGCACAAGUUUACCAACCUCAAGCAAUUAGGGGUCAGGUCAUGCCCGGCUGUCAGGUCGCUGCCCAAGGAUGGCCUCCCCAAAUCACUGCAAGAAUUAGAUGUUGGGGAGUGCGACAACGCGGAGUUAAUGCAGCAGUGCAGGGGGUUAGUGGGGACUAUCCCAAAAAUCAGACUGCAACCUCGAGACUGA
rnacentral:rRNA from 1 species